rfam:Triticum urartu cultivar G1812 contig284110, whole genome shotgun sequence.
AUUCUACUCCCUCCAUUGCACAAUACAUGCCUUCUAUUUGUCAAAAUAUAUAUGUAUCUAUACAUGUCUUAGUAUAUAGGUACAUCCAUUUUUGGACAAAUGGAAGUCAAGUAUUUUGGAAUGGAGGGAGUACAUA